ACCGAAUAUACUUGUCAAUCAAAUUUAACUACUACUAUCAUCAUAAGUCAUAUCCAAAUCAUUUUAACUAAGAGUGACAUAUCCACAUGAUUCAUACCAUAUGUGUAUCAUGUCUGACUCUUUCAAACCACGUCCAAAUCAUCAAGCAACUUCAAUCACAUAUCACAUAUACUUCUAUCUAUGAAUAACUUUAGUCGAACCAUUUGCUUGCACAUCCUACGCCGUCAACCAUUUUUAAAACAUAUAGUACCUAACACAAAUAUUAUACAUUCAUAGCACAUAACCUCAAGACUAAAAUGAACAUAAACCAUACUUAG
rnacentral:lncRNA from 1 species